ACUGCCGCACUCGGUUUGGUCAUGUGAACCGGAUCCACCCGCAUCUGCAUCCGGUUCACACAGCGGCGGUUGUUCUAAAUCGUUGCUCCUCUGACUUCUGCGCCUCGACUUUCCAAACUGGAAUUUUCAAACCUGCAGCUCUUCGCGCCAGACAUAUUACUUAGUUUUACAGAAGUGUUCAUCAGGAUCGAUCUCUACAAUUCAGAUAAAAUGAACAGAAAGACUGGGCUUGUCUCCAACUCCACCAUUAGACGCAGGGUCCGUCAAGAUGUUCAAAAAAGACUUGACCAAAUUAGGGACGACUGCGCAGAUAGAACUGCCUUUCAACUGACACCAGAGAGGGAACAUGUAGAUGUCAGUGGGGAGUCUUUGGAAAGUAUAAAUUGCACAGAAGAUGCAAAUUGUCUGGACAAAUGGAUGUUCCAUCUGAUUGAAUUCUUGGACAGCAAAACAGUAGCAGUCGAUACAAAGCUGGUACAGUGGUGGUG